GUGGGAGAUUCCUCCAAGCUCUGACCUCUGUACCUCCAGCCCUCCAUCUUCUCUUCCACUGCUUUUUGUCUCCUUGACCAUCCCAUUUCCAUGGAUUCCUUUGAGCACCGCACACCCUGGAAUUGCUCCUGAGAGUCAGGUGAGUGAAGAAAUGGAGGCUCACAGGAGGAAACAACGGGCUGGUCCACAGUAAGGAACAGAACCUGGGUGUGCACUAAAUUCCAAGCUCAGAAUGUGGCUGUCUGCGAAGGACCUCCUCAUUACCUCCUAGUAACAGGCGUUCUCCUCUCCCCGAGCAUCUCAAGCAUCUCAACAAGUGAGCCGAGCUUAGCACUGAGUCCCACAGAGAGGAUCCCCUUUGAAGACACUCUCUGUUAGUAUACAGGAGAUUCCACUGACCUGCUCAGGGACCUAGCAGCGGCUGCUGCCAGGUGAAUACUGUGGAUAAAUGGACCCCAGCCAUCCAGCAUCUCUCUUUGUCCCUUUGCCUUCUCCAGUUCUCCCGUUCUCUCUCUCUCUGUCCCUGUCUCUCUGACUCUCUGUCUCCCCCAUCUCGUCUUUGCCCGCCCCUCUCUGUGUUUCUCUCUGUCUCUUUGUCUCCCUCUGUC
rnacentral:lncRNA from 1 species